rnacentral:rRNA from 1 species
AUUGAACGCUGGCGGCAUGCCUUACACAUGCAAGUCGAACGGCAGCACGGGAGCAAUCCUGGUGGCGAGUGGCGAACGGGUGAGUAAAGUAUCGGAACGUGCCCAGUCGUGGGGGAUAACGUAGCGAAAGUUACGCUAAUACCGCAUACGAUCUAUGGAUGAAAGCGGGGGAUCGCAAGACCUCGCGCGAUUGGAGCGGCCGAUAUACGAUUAGGUAGUUGGUGGGGUAAAGGCUCACCAAGCCGACGAUCUGUAGCUGGUCUGAGAGGACGACAGGCCACACUGGGACUGAGACACGGCCCAGAAUCCUGCGGGAGGCAGCAGUGGGGAAUUUUGGACAAUGGGCGAAAGCCUGAUCCAGCCAUGCCGCGUGCAGGAUGAAGGCCUUCGGGUUGUGAACUGCUUUUGUACGGAACGAAAAGGUUUGGCCUAAUAAGCUGAGCUCAUGACGGUACCGUAAGAAUAAGCACCGGCUAACUACGUGCCAGCCGCCGCAGUAA